rnacentral:misc_RNA from 1 species
UCAAGGUAGCCGUGUGUGACA